GUUGUUAGCUCUCCAGAGACUUGUGUGUUAGUUUUCACCGCCCGGAAGGAAGAAAUUUUGUCUAUAAAUGCAGGAUGACAAGUGGUCUGUUUCCUCUUAAGAAGACCCCAAGGCAAAAGAGCGACUGCUGGAGCAGCACAUAUGGCACCAUAAAGUCGCUUCUCCUCAGCUUGCCUGCUUGUGAUCUUCUGGAGAACUUCACAGUCUCUUAAACGAGCAGAACCUGGCAUUCCUCCCGGCAAUGCAACAAGAUCAAAUAUUUCGGUGGAACAAGCAGAGAUGAAAGUAUCAGCAACUAGCCUAGUGCCUCCAUGCUUCAACCUCCAACUGCUUCUCUACUGAUGCCACUGUUACCUCUGCACCAGCCCGGCGCAGAACAUCAGCCAAUAUUACA
rnacentral:misc_RNA from 1 species